UUGAUCCCUUCUGCAGUCUCACUCUGUUUUGCUCUGCAGCCUCCAACACUCGGCUUCUGCUAAAAUGGGGAAGGACAGGAGGUGCAAUCGUAGCUUCGGGUCCAUCCAUCUGGAAGAAAAGGUAUACUGUCAGUUUUGAACAUUGAAUGCCGAUGGUUGCUGAGAAUGCUGUGGGGAGAUGAACAAAUGGAGAUUUUUGGGUCAUGGAUUUGGGAAUGAACUCUGGACCUUAAAGGAACAGAUGAGAGGAGGAAUGGAGAGAAGAGAAGGAUUUCUCCCAUGUUCUUAGAUCAAUUUCCUCAUGGAGUGAAAAAAGAUAGAUGAAGAUUGUGACGUACAACGUGAACGGCCUAAGGCCGCGCAUCUGUCAAUUCGGCUCUCUUCUAAAACUACUCAACUCACUUGAAGCUGACAUAAUCUGCUUUCAGGAAACAAAAGUAGCUAGACAGGACAUGACAACAGAUUUGAUUACCGCCGAGGGAUAUGAAUCAUUUUUUUCUUGCACCCGUACUUCCGACAAGGGACGCGUAGGCUAUUCCGGUGUUGCAACAUUUUGCCGUGUAAAUUCAGCAUUUUCGAGCAAUGAAGUCACUUUACCACUUUCAGCAGAAGAAGGUUUCACUGGUCUUCUUGAAAAUUUUCAAAGAGGGGUUGGCAGUAAAGAGGAUGAAAUGCCUGCAAAAGUGGAAGGCCUACAAGGGAUGACAAAAGGGGACCUUCUGAAAGUUGACAGCGAGGGACGUUGUAUCAUAACAGAUCAUGGCCAUUUUAUUCUUUUCAAUAUAUAUGGCCCUCGUGCUCAGUGUGAUGAUGCAGAAAGACUUCAGUUUAAGCGCACCUUUUUCAAUAUAUUACAGAAAAGAUGGGAGUAUCUCCUAAGACAGGGAAAGAGGAUCGUUGUUGUUGGGGAUCUCAACAUUGCUCCUGCCGCAAUAGAUUCCUGUAAUGCAGGCCCAGAUUUUGCACAGAAUGAGUUCCGGAGAUGGCUUAGAUCUAUGUUAGUGGAACAAGGGGGGCCUUUUCUUGAUGUUUUCAGAGUAAAGCAUCCUGAACGUAAAGAAGCAUACACAUGCUGGCCACAGUGUACCGGAGCUGAAGAAUUUAACUAUGGGUCUAGGAUUGACCAUAUCCUCAUUGCUGGAUCGUGCUUGCAUCAAGAUCACAACAUGGAAAGCCAUAACUUAAUAGAUUGCCAUAUUAAUAAAUGUGACAUAAUGACGAAGUUUAAGCGCUGGAAGUCUGAGAAUAUGCCCAGGUGGAAAGGAGGGAGAAACACUAAAUUGGAAGGUUCUGAUCAUGCUCCUGUUUACAUCAGUUUAAAGGAAAUACCCAAUCUUCCGCAGCACAACACUCCAUCUUUAUCUGCUAGAUAUGUUCCUGGGGUCCAUGGUUUCCAGCAAACUAUUGUUUCAUUGCUCAUGAAAAGACAAAUAUCUGAGGAACUCAAGAAGAAUGGAACAUCACAAUUAUUCUCAGAUGAAAACAUUGUAGUGGGCAGUUGCAGUGCGAGUGUAAAAAGAUCAAUGGAUUCAGAGGAAAAAAAUUCUGAUGUCAACCCUCAAUGUGAAGGUUCCAACCCAAGCAUGAUGAAACAUUUGGGUGGUUCUGCUAAUCAGGGUUCAGCGAAUACUAAGUUUUCAUUGAGAAACAAAACUGCAUCUGGCCAGUGCAUGGAAGCCAAGAAAAAAGUGAGACAUAAUGCUUGUUCUCAACGCACUUUAAGUUCUUUUUUCCAGAAACAGUCUUCCCAUGGUAAUAAUGUUGUUAGUGAAAGCACUGGCACUUCACUUAGUCAAGUUGAUGUCUCGGAAGGGAAGACCGAUUCUCCUCAUUUAACCAAAGAGAGAAAUUUCCCUAGAGAAUCUCAGAAAGUUAAAGAGUCAAAUUCCCCCCAAAAAUCUGAGAUCAAAGAGAUGGAUUCUCCCGAAGAAACUCUGGAGGUCAAAGAGAGUGUUUACCCCGCAGAAACUCAGGAGGGUAAUGAAAGCAAAUUUUGCAAGAUGUACGAGGUCAGCAUGAUUCCAUCCAGAGAGUCUCAAGGUGAUGAUAAUGCCUGUGGUCCUUCUGAAAGUGAGAAAAAUGAUGCUGCUUUGUCGGAGUGGCGAAGAAUUCAACAGUUCAUGCAGAACAGCGUACCUCUGUGCAAGGGCCAUAAUGAACCAUGUGUUGCUCGGGUCGUGAAGAAAGCAGGUCCGAAUUUGGGUCGUAGGUUUUAUGUCUGUGCUCGGGCUGAGGGACCCCCAUCAAAUCCAGAAGCACGCUGUGAUUAUUUCAAGUGGGCCAAUUCAAAAUCUGUGAAGAAAUGAAGAGGUAUGCUGUUGAUGAAGAUCAUCUGACAUUCUUCAAUGCAAUACAUUUAGUACAGGCAUUCAUGGAGCUUCUUCUCAGUAUAGAUCUGGGACCUGCAUCUAAUCCAGAAGCAAAUUGCGGUUACUUCAAAUGGGCUGUUCUAAAAUCUCAGAAGAAAUGAAGACUGCAAAAUCUAGGGGGUGGUGAUCUUGUAACUCGAUUAAUGUAUAUAGUGGAACUGGUGGUGCAGUUGGUCUACAUCGAUGUAUUUAUGUGUUUUCUGAUGUCCGGCUGAUGGUAAACUGCCGCACCUCAUUGUUGUGGUGCACUAUUAGCUAAUUGAAAGGUGAAGCUCUCUUCUAGGUCU